UACGUAGGGGUCGAGCGUUGUCCGGAGUUACUGGGCGUAAAGCGCGCGCGGGUGGCUCGUUGCGCCCGGCGUGAAAGCCCCCGGCUUAACCGGGGAAGGUCGUCGGGGACGGGCGAGCUUGAGGGCGGCAGGGGCCGGUGGAACUCCCGGUGUAGUGGUGAAAUGCGUAGAGAUCGGGAAGAACACCCGUGGCGAAGGCGGCCGGCUGGGCCGACCCUGACACUGAGGCGCGAAGGCGUGGGGAGCGAACGGG
rnacentral:rRNA from 1 species